rnacentral:rRNA from 1 species
UACGUAGGGUGCAAGCGUUAAUCGGAAUACUGGGCGUAAAGCGUGUGCAGGCGGUUAUGUAAGACAGAUGUGAAAUGCCCGGGCUUAACCUGGGAACUGCAUUUGUGACUGCAUGGCUAGAGUUUGGCAGAGGGGGGUAGAAUUCCACGUGUAGCAGUGAAAUGCGUAGAUAUGUGGAGGAACACCGAUGGCGAAGGCAGCCCCCUGGGUCAAGACUGACGCUCAUGCACGAAAGCGUGGGGAGCAAACAGG